AUUGAACGCUGGCGGCAUGCUUUACACAUGCAAGUCGAACGGCAGCGGGGGCUUCGGCCUGCCGGCGAGUGGCGAACGGGUGAGUAAUGCAUCGGAACGUGCCCAUGUCGUGGGGGAUAACGUAGCGAAAGCUACGCUAAUACCGCAUACGUCCUGAGGGAGAAAGCGGGGGAUCUUUGGACCUCGCGCGAUUGGAGCGGCCGAUGUCGGAUUAGCUAGUAGGUGAGGUAAAGGCUCACCUAGGCGACGAUCCGUAGCGGGUCUGAGAGGAUGAUCCGCCACACUGGGACUGAGACACGGCCCAGACUCCUACGGGAGGCAGCAGUGGGGAAUUUUGGACAAUGGGCGCAAGCCUGAUCCAGCCAUGCCGCGUGAGUGAAGAAGGCCUCGGUU
rnacentral:rRNA from 1 species